rnacentral:rRNA from 1 species
CCUACGGGUGGCAGCAGUGAGGAAUAUUGGUCAAUGGCCGUAAGGCUGAACCAGCCAAGUCGCGUGAAGGAAGAAGGAUCUAUGGUUUGUAAACUUCUUUUAUAGGGGAAUAAAGGUAUCCACGUGUGGCUAUUUGCAUGUACCCUAUGAAUAAGCAUCGGCUAACUCCGUGCCAGCAGCCGCGGUAAUACGGAGGAUGCGAGCGUUAUCCGGAUUUAUUGGGUUUAAAGGGUGCGUAGGUUGUUUUUUAAGUCAGCGGUGAAAGUUUGUGGCUCAACCAUAAAAUUGCAGUUGAUACUGGAAGUCUUGAGUGUGUUUGAGGUAGGCGGAAUGCGUGGUGUAGCGGGGAAAUGCAUAGAUAUCACGAAGAACCCCGAUUGCGAAGGCAGCUUACUAAGCCAUAACUGACACUGAAGCACGAAAGCGUGGGGAUCAAACAGGAUUAGAUACCCCAGUAGUC